ensembl:lncRNA
GUACUGUUAUUUCUGGUAACUGGAUAAAACCAAGAGUCCAGCCACCACCUUGUAGAAGAAAUCCCAGUGGAUCUUUUGAUGUUUAACAGAAUGAAUGCUCUGUAUUAAACACAUCACACUUGAAGUUCGGUCAUGAUUGCCUGUUGUGUUAAAUAUAUCCCAAUGCUACUACAGCUUAUAGGAAUGACCGCAUCAGUGCGGUGUGGCAUGGAAGGAAUCAGCCUGUGGCACUGUUGAGGUGUUAUGGAAGCCCAAGCUGCUUUGAUAGCGGCCUUCAGCUCGUCUGUAUUGUUGGGUCUGGUGUCUCUUGUAGAUUCUCCAUGGGGUUCGGGUCAGGCGAGUCGGCUGGCCAAUCAAGCACAGUAAUACCAUGGUCAGCAAACCAGUUACUAGUAGUUUUGGCACUGUGGACAGAAAAGGAAAUCAGAAUCUCC